rnacentral:rRNA from 1 species
UACGUAGGUGGCAAGCGUUGUCCGGAUUUACUGGGCGUAAAGAGCGCACAGGCGGUCGUUCAAGUCGCGUGUGAAAGCCCCCGGCUCAACUGGGGAGGGUCACGCGAUACUGAUCGACUCGAAGGCAGGAGAGGGAAGUGGAAUUCCCGGUGUAGUGGUGAAAUGCGUAGAUAUCGGGAGGAACACCAGUGGCGAAGGCGACUUCCUGGCCUGUUCUUGACGCUGAGGCGCGAAAGCUGAGGGGAGCAAACGGGG